GGCAGAGCUGGUCUGCAUUUCCACCAUGGCCUUGGCCCCGCUCCUCCUCGUAUUCCUUGAAUGCUGCUCAGGUUCUCUUGCUGAGAGCAUGACAACUCAGCCGCCUUCGGUGUCCGUCUCUCCCGGACAAACUGCUACACUCACCUGCACAGCAAAUACCAUUAGUGGUUUCGGAGCAAGUUGGUACCAACAGAAACCUGGGAGUGCCCCCCUGAUCAUUAUGGGCAACGACAAUAAGAGACCCUCCGGUAUCUCGGACCGGUUCUCUGGUUCCAAGUCCGAGAACACGGCCACAUUGACCAUCACUGGAGUCCAAGCCCAGGACGAGGCUGAUUAUUACUGCUUUGCUCUUGUUGAUGGACAUGAUGGAUCAUCAUCUACCGAAGGAAGAUCUAUUCAGCAGCCUUUGGGGCUGGUCUUCGCCUCACAUACUUCUCGUGUCCCGCCUGAGAGUCUUCUUCUUGUGUCCCGCCUGAGAGAGCUGACGACAGGGAUUCAGCAGAACCUGCAGGUUGUUCGAAUCUGA